GCUUUGUUCUUUUGUUAGAUGAAGAUUACAUGUUUCAAGCUUCCUUGUUUGAAAAAAUAAGCCACAUAAAUUUUAUUCCAGAUUUGACCUUAUCCUCUCCUCUGAAUUUGAGAGUGGAGUUUAAGCUUGUUUCACUGAACUGGAAUUUACAGAUUCUGGAUCUGCAGCAUUAUUGAUGGGAACAGAACUCAUGAGAUUUUGCAUUAAGGAAGAGAAUGAUGACAUCCCAUCAGUUCCACCUGGUUUCGAGUCACUUGCUGCUUUCACCUUAAAGAGGGUCCAAGAUGGUGAAAAACAAGAAACUCAAGACGUAAUUACCUCUUCAGUCUCCAUAAGCACUUCUGACUUACAGUCAGUAAAGAUAGAAAUGGAUACCGACAGUCGUGCUGACACAAAAAUCACAAGGUCUCUCCGGCGUAGAGCUUGUAUAAACUAUGGACAAUUGGGCAAUAAUAGUUCAGAGGAUGAAUCUGAUUCUGCAAAGCUUAAUCAAAAUCUUAGUUUAAGGUAUCAUCUACCAAAGGGGGUUAUUCGUGGAUGUGCACAAUGCGGAAAUUGCCAAAAGGUCACUGCAACAUGGCGUCCUGAAUAUGCUCGCAGGCCUGACCUUGAGGAUGCUCCUGUAUUCUACCCUACUGAAGAGGAGUUU
rnacentral:misc_RNA from 1 species